rnacentral:rRNA from 1 species
UGAUAGGAGAAAAGAACCCCGGCGAGGGGAGUGAAAAAGAACCUGAAACCGUGUACGUACAAGCAGUGGGAGCUCCUUCGGGUGUGACUGCGUACCUUUUGUAUAAUGGGUCAGCGACUUAUAUUCUGUAGCAAGGUUAACCGUUUAGGGGAGCCGCAGGGAAACAGAGUCUUAUCUGGGCGUUAAGUUGCAGGGUAUAUACCCGAAACCCGGUGAUCUAGCCAUGGG